rnacentral:tRNA from 1 species
UGCGUCCGUGGCGCAAUUGGAUAGCGCAUCGGUCUUCGGAACCGAGGGUUGGGGGUUCAAAUCCCUCCGGGCGUAA